AAAGGAGAAAUCUGCCCGCUGAUUGAUUAACUGGAACUUGAGAGAAGUGUUUCCCGUUUUUGCAUAAUCCGGAUUGGAGAAAUUUGCAAAGUUAUACUUUAUUGGGGCUGUACAAAUAUAUGGAGGCUGUUGUUUACCAUCAUUUUCCAAAUAACAUGUAGAUCCAUUGAAUUUUGCUGGAGAGAAAACUCCAACCCAGUCAUCAUGUGAUGGGUUGGGGUUGUCAAGAUGUAGAGUUACCCAUUCAGUGUCACCACCCUUGGGAGCAAGAAUAAAUGGAUAAGCUUUAAUGGUGAGUGAUGCAUCAAGUGCAACAGUAGCUUUGUGGAUUGCAAUGUUUGAUAAAGGCUGCUCUCCACUAUGACCUGAAGCAACACCCAAUAACACCAAAAAACAUACAACAAACUUCUUCAUUUUGGCAAAAGUUGCCGCCUUAGUGCUUCUG
rnacentral:misc_RNA from 1 species